rnacentral:rRNA from 1 species
AGAGUUCUUCCUGGCUCAAGACGAACGCUGGCGGCGCGCCUAACACAUGCAAGUCGAACGAGCGAGAGAGAGCUUGCUUUCUCGAGCGAGUGGCGAACGGGUGAGUAACGCGUGAGGAACCUGCCUCAAAGAGGGGGACAACAGUUGGAAACGACUGCUAAUACCGCAUAAGCCCACAGCUCGGCAUCGAGCAGAGGGAAAAGGAGCAAUCCGCUUUGAGAUGGCCUCGCGUCCGAUUAGCUAGUUGGUGAGGUAACGGCCCACCAAGGCGACGAUCGGUAGCCGGACUGAGAGGUUGAACGGCCACAUUGGGACUGAGACACGGCCCAGACUCCUACGGGAGGCAGCAGUGGGGAAUAUUGCACAAUGGGGGAAACCCUGAUGCAGCGACGCCGCGUGGAGGAAGAAGGUCUUCGGAUUGUAAACUCCUGUUGUUGGGGAAGAUAAUGGCGGUACCCAACAAGGAAGUGACGGCUAACUACGUGCCAGCAGCCGCGGUAAAACGUAGGUCACAAGCGUUGUCCGGAAUUACUGGGUGUAAAGGGAGCGCAGGCGGGAAGACAAGUUGGAAGUGAAAUCUAUGGGCUCAACCCAUAAACUGCUUUCAAAACUGUUUUUCUUGAGUAGUGCAGAGGUAGGCGGAAUUCCCGGUGUAGCGGUGGAAUGCGUAGAUAUCGGGAGGAACACCAGUGGCGAAGGCGGCCUACUGGGCACCAACUGACGCUGAGGCUCGAAAGUGUGGGUAGCAAACAGGAUUAGAUACCCUGGUAGUCCACACCGUAAA